AAUUUUGUGAUGCAUUUUAUUAGACUGAAUCAUGCCGUGAAAGAACGCACUCUAAAUGCGCACGCGCACUAAUCUAACCUAAUAGACUUCACGUCAUGUGUGCGUGCACUCUCUGUAGGUAACCGCCCCCUUGGAUUGAACCCUAGUAAACUUCUGUACAUGGUCUCAGAUCUGAAGCUGCUGUCUGAGUAUGUUGGAGUCCCUAUGUUUUCAUCUUCAAGCCUUUCUGAGAAAGGAGAGAAGUGGAUGGGGCAAACCCACAGCCACAAUGUGAUCACUACUUCUCCCUGCUCUGUCUAUUUGAACAACUUCUAAAUAAAAUGUU